GACGAACGCUGGCGGCGUGCUUAACACAUGCAAGUCGAACGGAAAGGCCCUGCUCUUGUGGGGUUCUCGAGUGGCGAACGGGGGAGUAACACGUGAGUAACCUGCCCCUGACUUUGGGAUAAAUUCAGGAAACUGGGGCUAAUAUAGCAUAGGAGCUCCUGCUGCAUGGUGGGGGAUGGAAAGAUUCGGCGGUUGGGGAUGGACUAGAGGGUCAUGCGCUUGUUGGUGGAGUAGGUGAUGACCAAGGCUAUGACGGGUAGGCGGCCUGAGAGGGUGAACGGCCACAUUGGGACUGAGGUACGCCCCAGACUCCUACGGGAGGCAGCAGUGGAGAAUAUGGCACAACGGGCGCAAGCCUGAUGCAGCAACGCCGCGUGCGGGAUGACGGCCUUCUGGUUGUAAACCGCUUUCGCCUGUGACGAAGCGUUAGUGACGGUAAUGGGUCAAGAAGCACCGGCUAACUACGUG
rnacentral:rRNA from 1 species